CUGGGUGAUUCAGGUCUUCAUCAGGGUCGCCCCUGACAACGUGUGUGUGGGAGGGAGGGAGAGUGACCUCCUCCUGCCGCCUGGGGCGCCAGCAGACUCAGGCUCUGGAGAGAGCCCUCCUCGGUUCCUGAUGUGACUCCUCCCCUGGCGGGGGGCUCCAAGCAUGGCUGACACCAUCUUUGGCAGUGGGAGUGACCAGUGGGUCUGCCCCAAUGACCGGCAGCUCGCCCUGCGAGCCAAGCUGCAGACAGGCUGGUCCGUGCACACCUACCAGACAGAGAAGCAGAGGAAGAGCCAGUGCCUCAGCACGGCUGAGGUGGGGGCCAUCCUGCAGGUCAUCCAGAGGGCCGAGCAGCUCGAUGUCAUGGAGCAGCAGAGGAUUGGGCGGCUGGUGGAGCGGCUGGAGACCAUGAGGCGCAACGUGAUGGGGAAUGGCCUCUCCCAGUGUCUGCUCUGUGGGGAGGUGCUGGGCUUCCUGGGCAGCUCGUCGGUGUUCUGCAAAGACUGCAGGAAGAAAGUCUGCACCAAAUGUGGGAUCGAGGCCUCCCCUGGCCAGAAGCGGCCCCUGUGGCUAUGUAAGAUCUGCAGUGAGCAGAGAGAGGUCUGGAAAAGAUCGGGGGCCUGGUUCUUCAAAGGGCUCCCCAAGUACAUCCUGCCCCUGAAGACCCCAGGCCGGGCAGAUGACCCCCACUUACGACCUUUGCCUGUGGAGCCUGCUGAGCAAAAGCCCAGGAGCACUGAGACCAGUCGAGUCUACACGUGGGCCCGAGGGAGAGUGGUUUCCAGCGAUAGCGACAGCGACUCGGAUCUCAGCUCCUGCAGCCUGGAGGAUAGACUCCCACCCACUGGGGUCAGAGACCUGAAAGGCGACAAAAUCUGGGGGGAAUCAGGUGGCAGUGUGGAGUCCCCCAAGAUGGCACUCACUCGCCCACCCAGCCACCUCUCGGGGAGCCAGAGCAGCCUGGCCAGUGAGGUCGGGACAGGCCCUACAGACCCACAGAGAGGGCCCUUCUCCUCUCUCACUCAACCCUCCCACACUGGAAAGUGAUAGAUGAAGCUUUCAAUUCUCUAUGUUAACUGAGUGCUGUGCAGGCAGUGAAGGAACAGAGGUGAGCCAGACCCCACCCCUGCCUGCAAUGAACAGAGGGGAACCCAAAAUAAUAAUGGAAACCAUCCCUAUUCCUUCUCAGUAAUUGUAACAAUGCUUGUUACCAUCCUCAGCUUUAUAAAAUGCGUAAUCUUUCAAAGCAUUUCCCCAUCUCAAUAACAGCCCCAGGAACUCCCGUUUCAAGAGCACCUACAGUGAGCCAGGCAAUCCAGUCCUCACCAAGUCCCUCACGUACUUGGGCUGGGGAUGGUGGACAGCAGUCCUUCACCUCCAGAAUCCUACCAUGUGGCUGAGGAAGCCGAAUCUAUACCCGAAACAGCCCAGCCUAGGCCAGGCCCAAAUCAGAGGAAGAAUUCGAGACCACUGGAGCUCGUGGCAUUAGAGCCCAGCUUGCCCUUUGUAUGGCCAAGGUCAACUUUUAUUCUAUCGGAGGAGUAGGCAGGAGGCUUAUUAGCCCCAUUUGAUGGGUGUGGAAACCAAGGGCAAAAAUUCAAGCUCCCAUCGCCCCCGCAAGCCCACUGUCCGUGCUUUGCCAGCUUGGGAUCCACAAUGGGCGUGGGAGUGGGGAUGGAGGCCUCUUCACAGUCAAACCAGGGAAAGUUGUGCAAGUGAUGUUCAGCCCCUGGUCUCCUUCAAGAAAGAAGCCCCAGCUGGAAUUGGUGCCUCCACGGCCAUAGGAUCCACGGCGCGCCUGGUGCAUGUGUGGAUCUGCACAGCCGCUGAUCCCCAGUGCGUUAGUUGCAGGAGCCUGGGUGCGCUGGCAGCCACCCACCAGAAAUCCACGUGGGAGCUCUGGCCCGCUCCCCACUCCCCACCCUCCCUCCUUUCCUUUCUCCUCCACCUCACCUCCUCCUCCUCCCCCAUCUAAGGGUUCCUCAGAAGCUGCAGGGCAGGGCAUAAAGAGAGACAGCAAGUGGGCAGGUCUGGGGGGGGGCCCUCUCCCCUCCCUCUAGCCUCCUGAAAUCCUCCGCAGGGGACAGUUUAGAAUCAAACAGCCCUGAGUUUUAGUCCCAGCCCUGCCACCCAUAGCCAUGCGAACUGAGGCACACCGUUUCACUCAAUACGAAAUUGCAUUUUCAUAGGUCAAAAAUAAUCGAACGUUGGCCAUUCAGUAUGACGCAACCUAAUAAUUGAUCUCGCUGCGCCCGGUUCCAUGGUCGCUAAACCGUAGACCCCACCACGUCCCUCACAGGAUUGCAGGGAGGGUAAAAUAAGAUGCAGCACACUUGUAGACUGCCCACCUGAGUACUAGGUCUUGGGAAAUGUCCAGUAAUGAAGGGGGAGGCAGUGUGGCCAGUACGUAGAAAGGAUUCCAGCGCUUAAGAAACAACUUUAAAAAGAUUGGCCUAAAGGAAAGCUUUAUAUUCCCGUGUCCAUGUUUUCCUUCUGGCAUCGAAGAUCAGCUGUGUUGAUUAUCCCAGGUUUCACUGGACACUCUGAAGCAUGGCAAAGGGCACAGCUGGGGGAGUCCCCACUGCUGAGGUGGCCUCUGAGGAUCCCCUCUGCCUGCCCUGAGCAGAGACCCGUCUGGUGCGCGGAGCAGACUUGUCCGUGGAAGAGUUAGAGGGAGAGAGAGGGAACGCAGGCGCUGGAGCCAGAGCCCUGACAUCCAACCCUGACAGAUGUGACCUCUGACUCAACUAACCAGUGUUGGGAGGGCUGCAUCCCCUCACCCAGUGCCUUUCUGAACCCCUUCUCCCUUGGGAGCCAUCCUCAUCGCCAUCCCCAGCCAUUCCACUCAGCCGUGACCUUUAUUUAUUGUCCUCCCCUACUGCCCUCUCAGUUACCCCGUGUGUAAGUUGGCUCUUGUCUGAGGUUGGGCAGGAAGGGCCUUCAGACCCACCCUGUGGGCCCCCCACCCAUGUGCACUGAAGUUUCAGAGGGCACCAGGCAAGUGUCCUCCAUGUUUGUAUUAAUGGAAGUAGAAAUCCAACCCGGAGCAUUAGUCUUCAAAGCCGAGCUUGGCCCCGAGAGAGGGUGGUGGAGCCCAGAGCAGGUGGGCUCCCUCUGCCCGCAACUCCCGGGAGUGGGGGCAGCACCCUCCCCUCACUCAGGGCUGGCCCAGGAGCUGCUGUUGAAACCUGGCUCUUUGUUGUUUCUUGAAACCCCUCCAUUGGCCUCCCGGGGUUUUGCUCAGCCUCUCCCCAGCUUGUGGAGCUGAGAAGGGUUCUGGUGAAGACUGUAAAUUCACUCAUUGAAUAUCAGCCUUCCGCCGAGUCCCCAGCUGGGGCACGAGGCUCCCCUAAGCCAUUAAUUCAUUUCUCUUCAAUAGGUUCGUUGUUGGCAUGAAAAAUAUUUAAUUCAAAGCAUGGGCAAAUGCUUCUGGAAAACCCUUCCCUGAAGAGAGAACGUGUGUGUGUGUGUGUGUGUGUGUGUGUGUGUGUGUGUGUGUUUCUCUGCAUCCUCCCAUCCUUCCUGCUCUCCCACUGUCCCCACCCCCCUGUCCUCAAAGGGCCUUCUUUUCUCCAGGCUCUCAGGCCCCCACCAUUAGCUUUUUUUGCCCUUGCUACUGGCAGACGGUAAAAAAAAAGCUCCCUGCUUCCCUGCGACAAGUUAUGCUUCAGAAUAAAAAUAAAGAUUAGGAUUUGCAUUGAGCCAGUGUGUUGAUAAAAAGACCACAAUCGCUUGUGUUUCUGAGAUGGAUCAGUAGAGAAAUGGAUGGAAAAAAAUGUGAUACACUGAUUGCUGGAACACUUCCUAAGCUGCAGUGAAAGGAAUGAGCUGGGUCUGUGUGUGUUAAGAGCUCACAAAUCUAACAUUGAAUGGAAAAAGCAAGGCCACCUAUGUAAAAAAAGUUAAGUGUACAUACAAAUGAUCCAAAUGAGUGAUACAAACAUGUACAUAUGUAAAAAAUGUUUAUGAAAUGGACAAGGGCUUCUGAUUAAAUAUGGUGAACUGAAUACAUUUGUAUUUCCUCUGUCCCCAAAACCUCGCUAAAAUGACAUAAAGGAAUGAAAAUGGCAUUAACCAGAAAGACAAAAAGAUAGGAGAGGAGAUGGCAGCAGAUAGAGGUCUGAAAACUUUGAAAAAUGGAAGACUAUAACUUGUGUAGUGCCAGCUUUCACUACUCCCCAAAAUGUCUAGAAGAGAGAAAGCCAACGGUGAACACGCCCAUUUGCUCUGCAGAAUGCUCAGAACUUGGAGGGACGUUCAAGAUGGGUGUGAAAAUAGUAUUGGUUGGCCUGUGAUUGCCCUGCCUUUCCCUGACCCUGGUAGAAGACAGGGUUGAACUAGAAAAAUUCUGGAUUGAGGACCCUAAGCCCAGCCAAAGGCUGGGGUGAGGCAAUGGUUAAUGGGGAGACCCUCAGCCCUCUUCCCCUGCUAACAGCUGGGCCUAUUCUCCGUUCACCCUCCUCCCCAAAGCAGGACAUUAUUGAAUGUCUCUGGGAAAUUGGCCAAAGAAAAAAGAUCGACAGAUCCUAACGUUGGUAAUUCCCCUGUCUCUGCCCAGUCACCACUGUGAGGCCCCCGGUCCACAAACCCUGGCCACAUGUGCAAAGCUUCCUGUUAGCUUUGGUGUAUUGCACUCAUAGCGGGAAUAGCCAAGGGCACCAAGAGUUGACCAAAACCAACAACUGAAAUACAGAGACUCCAACACACACAAGAAAGGGGUCAGAGCACAACCGUCUAACGAUAGUCACCCACGAAACAGGAAAGAAAUGUUAUUUUUUAAAAGGAAGUGUUAAAGCUCUUCAAAAUUAAAAUAUAAUAGCAGAAAUUUAAAAAUGCAUUAGAAGGGCUGGAAGAUGAGAGAAAAUCUCUCAGAAAGUAAAACACAAAAACAAAGAUGUGAGGGCGGCCGGAUGGCUCAGCUGGUUAGAGCGCAAGCUUUUAACAAGGUUGCUGGUUCAAUUCCCACAUGGGAUGGUGAGCUG